rnacentral:lncRNA from 1 species
AACAAAGAAAUUUUAAUGACAUUCAACUUGGCCUGCCAUUAAACAACAGCUAUAUAUACCUUAGAAAGGUUGCUGACAUUUAGCUAGCUAAUUAUAGUAGUUAGUACUAAUGAAAGAAAAUAGAUUACAAAAACUAAAGAAAAGAAAGAGAAUAUGGUUCUUCUGCUGUACAUUGCAACUUAUGAACUAAAACAUGCUAGUUGCACAUUGCUGCUUUUGGUGCUAUUUUAACCCAAAAAAAUAGUAUAAGAGAGAACUUACUAGAGGAGCCAUAGUUGCCACGGGAUGGAACUUUGAAAAGAGUGGAAAUUAGACUUACCCUGAUUAUAAGACAUGAUUCAUGUAAUUUAAUCAACUGGCACUUGAAAGCCUUUGUAACUAAGUGUGAUGUUAUAAAUAAAAGUCAGUGAAAAAGAAACAUAACUUUCCUUCAGCAAGGAGGACCUUAUCCAAGAUAAUUGGAACAGCUAAAAGAGAGUCCUCAAAAUUAAUAUUAUGAAGAUAAUGUGUUUCUAUAAGCUCUGAAUUCCAUAUCAUCAUUAUAUUGUUCAUUUGAGACCUUUCCUAUCCAGAUCCAGACCAUCUGCUAAUACACAUCAUAGAACACACUUUAGAACAAAAUUGGAUACUUAUUCUACGUGAAUGUAAAGGGAAAAGGAUGGCGGACUGAUAAUCUCGAUACUGAACAUCCUUCUCCAUGAUAAUAUUCAAUAAGUUUGUAUUUUAAGCUUCCUCCAAGCAAAAUCCAUAUAUCAUAUAUAUCAUGAAUUCCACAGCUCUUGUUUUUGCCACUGACUCUCCACGUAUUGACAGAAACCAAACUUCUAUCAAUAAGAUCUUUCAAAUAUUUAUCUGCAGUCAUUUCGAAGUCAAAAGACGCAUUUAAAUAGGAAGGGCACCUAAACUAGCAUACUUAGCAACCUCUGCGUUCCGAGUAGUCAGUAUAUAUCAUUCGACUUCCAUUGCUGUUGAAUGGAAAACACAUUCUUAUAUCAACAAUUACAAAUUAGUACCUUCUACCUUGAAGUAAAUCUGCAAGUUCUCCAUCAUUCUUCUCAUCAAGUCCUUCACUCCUUGACGAAGUGUAAUGAAGGAGGCCAAGGUAUAAAUUUCGCAGUUGAUAUUCUUGCGAAACAGUGAUCAUUGCACGAACAUUGAAAUGAGACAUUAUCAAUGGUUCAUUGAAAAUCCUUGUUGGGAAAGUUGUCUUGCCGAUUCCUACUAGGGAGAUAACUAUCAGUUCUCCAAGGCCUCUUCUAACAAGUUGAUCUUGCAUCUUCUCAAGUUCAUAGUCAUCAUACACCAUUAUGUUCUUUGGCUCUAAAACAUGUUGUGACGAUUAGAUAAGAAUCAAACACAAUAACAACUAUGGAAACAUAACCGGAAACUUCAAACAGAAUCAAAUGUUAACCUUAUGGGCAGGCAGGUCAAGGUCCUUGUUCUCCCACUAUCACCAAGUAAAAAAGUUUGUUGGUUUUGGGUAUUUGGUGUUUCCGUACAUGUUCUUCGUCUUCAUCAACUCACCCUUGUUGAAUCAACAUUUUCAAUCACCUGCUGCAAGCAUUCACAAAUAGUUCUUCGUCUCCUCCUGUAAGGUGUGAUUGGUGUUCAAGAGAUAAGGACAGUGUUGCCAUGAAAGAAGUUAUGGCAACAUAAGCCAUCUUUAUCUCCUUCUCUUCAGUCCUAUGUAUUGUUAUGCUGCAAAUUUGAUUAAAAAGAUUUGCAAGAAAUACAACUAUUUCACCUCUCUCAAACAAGAUAAAGAAGACUAUAUAGCUUCUUGAUACAAACGUUGCUAUUAGGAUAAUAAGAGAAAUAUAACCUCUGGAUAUGUUCGAAUAUGCUAGCAAGAAUGAUAAUUGAGCAUAAAUAAUUGAGAUACUUUAAUUUUUAUCUUCAGUUUUCUUACUUCUUGUUCCUUUUGAUUUCCUGCUCUCUCUCUCUCUCUCUCUCUNCUCNCUNUCUCUCUNNNNNNNNNNNNNNNNNNNNNNNNNUUCUUACUUACUUCUUCUUCUUCUUCUUCUUCUUCUCUCUCUCUCUCUCUCUCUCUCUCUCUCUCUCUCUCUCUCUCUCUCUCUCUCUCUCUCUCUCUCUCUCUCUCUCUCUCUCUCUCUCUCUCCCAUAUCUAUUUUUUUCUUUGAUGUCCCGACAUAUUUUUUCUUUUACAUGGAAAUAGCUAUUAUAUCCUGUUUGGUGAUACCAAACCGCAAAAUAUACCUAAGAAAUGGCACUCUUCUACAUGGAAACCAAUCUUGGAUCUGGAAUAGCUGGUUGUUUCUUGGCCCGUACCAACUUCGAAAUUGAACUUGCUCGUAACUUUGCUAUAACUCCAGUUCGUUUCUUGAGUAAUAGCAGUGUCAAAACGUAAGUUGGGUGCCUCUCCUGGGAUCUAUCCAGUUGUUUGUCAUUCCAAAGCUGAUGAGGUGCAAGACACUCUUAUGCUCUCUGAUUAUGUGUGCUGUAAUUAUAAGUAUAAACGGUUAUUGUUGAUGUACUUGUCAAUUUCACACAGCCUCUACAUAAAAUCCCACUCUGAAUAAGAGGCAAUGGGUAAUAGAUGAAUAACAUCCGGAUUAAAUGAUCCGUACUGGUGGAAUAUUUGUAAUGUGACUAUACCGUCUGCUGACGAGUAAAUGUGCCUUGCUGACGAGUAUAUGUGCUAGUGCCAAGGCGCAACGGCUUUCAGAAAGAAGAGAGAACUAGAUUAACGUCUAAAGGACUACACAUUGUAUUUCCAAUUGAGAAAAGCGUUGCUAUCUCUAAAUGAGCAAGAGCAACACGGAUACAACAUUGUAAAUAGAAGGCCAACAUACAAAGACAACAAAGAAAUUAUGAUGACAUUCAACUUGGCCUGCCAUUAAAAAACAGCUAUACCUCGAAGGGCUGCCAACAUUUAGCUAAUAUCAUAGUACUAAUGAAAGAUAAAGAUUACAAAUACUAAAGAAAAGAAAGACAAUUAUGGUUCAUCUGCUGCACAGCUUCUUGAGUAAGACAAUUAUGGUUCUUCUGCCGUACAGCUUCUUGAGUCCUUUCCGAUCUUCAUUUGUAUUCCAGAAUCAUGUUGUUCUCUGGUGCAAGUCCAACACAAGCCCUCAAUAUGUUCUCAAGCAUUGCCCUCUGCUUUGAGAGUGCAUUCACCACUGGUGUACCUGGUGGUACCUGUUUACCAAUUCACAACACAAACAUCAAAAACAGGGUUAUGUAUUGGAGCCUAAGAUGUUCACACAUAAAUUUAGGCUUAAAGUGUGUGUUCAUGUGAUGAUAAUGACAACCUUUGUGGUUCAUGUGAAGCCCUCUUUAGUUUGUUGUGACCAUAGGUCUCUGCAUAUUUUUAAGUUACAACGGGGCCACCAAUUAUUCAGGUUAUUAGAGUGAAGGACAGAAAGCACUAGGGGAAUGAAAUCUUGCGACCAGAAAGAAAGGUAGGGGAAAUAGCCCUUUCAUGACUAAAGGAAAGGAUAAUGGUUAGACAUGAGCCUGAAAAUAUCGACCUUGACCUCGAAUAGGUCUUCGACUUCAAUUCGGGCCUGUUGUAUGAUGUAUGACCUCGACAGGAGGGGUUUUCUCUCCUCAAACUCAAAGGCCGUUGUUGGAUGCUUUCUACACCGUCGCCCCCUAUGAUCUCAUCUUCUUGAUAUGGAAAGGGGACGAACAUGAAUGAAAACAUCUUGUAGUGUCACAUUAUUGUAUUGGCCCUACCAAUCAACUAUUCAGUCUUGCAACUUAUGAACCAAAACUUGGUAAAUGCACAUUGCUGCUUUUGGUGCUAUUUUAACAAAAAGAAAUAAGGUUCAAGAAAACUUACCAGA